ensembl:lncRNA
AAGGUGGAGGAGGGGAGAAUUCCCUCUCUGCUUGAGCUGAGAUCUCGUCUUCUCCUGCCCUUGGACAUGUGAGCUUCUGGUUCCAGGGCCUUCAGACUCCAGCUGGAACCCACACAAUUGGGUCCCCCAGUUCUCGAGCCUUCAGAUUUGGACUGGAACUAAACCACUGGCUUCCCUGGGCCUCCAGCUUGCAGAUAACAGAUCAUGGGACUUCUCAAGCUCCACAAUCGUGUGCACCUCCUAUCAUCAGUGAAUGCUCUGAAGUGGGAAGGAGAAGUUCAGAGUGCUGAUGGUCACAGAGAUCUUCCAUUCCUGAAUCCUAUCACCUUCUCUUCACAACAACUUGGAGAAGAUCCAGAGAGUUGUGGACCCACGGAGGAGACAUCUGGUAAGGGAGCACGGGUUAUACUAUUAAUGCCAUCCCCUGGGGAACUGGACCAGACCAUGUGCCCUGAUGGAGGCAAGCCCAGAGCAGGCUGAGCUGCUUCCUCCAUCUUUCGCCUUUAGACUGGCCUCCAUAAGUCCUCUGCCACCAUUUAGGGGAGAGAUUAAUGCCCAUCCCACGAAACUGAAUCUCAAGAAAGAAUCAAAUGAUGUCCAUAGACCCAUGACCCAGUGCAAAGCUCUGGCCCUGAAAACUGCCCCAGCCUUGGAGGAGGGCGAGAAACCUGAGUCUCCUUCACCAGCAACUCCUUUAUCCACCAGCCUCUUGGGAAUUCAGUUACCUUGAGCCACCACAGGAGAGUUCACCCACCCCCCAGGAACUGAGGCCCAGGAUAUCUGAGCUUUGAUUCCUCCUGAAGUUACCUUUUCUGACUGUAUUCAUUCAGGUCUCUGUGAAUGGCGACAUUGCAUUUUAGCUUACUGUAGGCUCAGGAAGGUCCCAUUCCUACUGGGAACAAUCUCAAAAAGCAAAUAAAUAAAUAUGAAGUACAAUAAAAAGCAAGCCAAAUUCCAAUCAAUGUAACAGCAGACAGGUGCACCCCUGAUUGCAUUGAGUGGCAUCAAAUUAGGUGUGUUGCCUUUAGCGUGAUAAUCUUGACCUAGAGAACAUUUAUGUAUAAGCAACAGGCAGCAUCAACCUCCAGUCAACACAGAAUGAGGCCAAAUGUGUAAAAUCUCCUUUGCACUUUUGCCUUUGAAAGAAGAAUGAUGCUUAAAAGGCCCAAUUAAUUUGGAGUUCUAUCCCAGGAUAGAGUCAAUUGGGGUAAAUAAAUAACCCAUGUAAGCAGAAUGAAGUCAGAAAUGCUUCUCACUGGUGACUCUCUUUCACUGCUGGGAAUGGAGUUUUCUAAUACGAAAGUGAGUUACUGUAGGAUAUUUAGCUGGGAUGUUCAGCUCAUCCUGAUAACAUGAAUUCUCUUGAGCACGCUGGGAGGGAGGGAGCCCACCAGGACGUGUCCCCCCAUUUAACGCAUCACUGGCACACAAUUGCCCGUCCCAGCUCCUGCGUUC